rnacentral:lncRNA from 1 species
UUUUCCUCUUUCACACUCUUUAAUCUCUUUCUGCUUUAUUUCGUCCUUUAAUUCUUGGUGAUUUAUUUGAAAUCACUAAGAACUUUUUGGACGCGGAGGCCGCAGCUGCCUCCACUUUGUACGCGUAAUUCAUCAUGUUUUAUGAAUGAAGCAUGUAACUUGCUAUCUAUUUCUCAAAAAAAAAAAAAAAUCUUGGUGAUUUAUUUUUCGCCCUUUUUUAUUCAAUAGGCUUGAUCACUCUAGCCUAAU